AGUAACAAAAAAGAGAUAAAUAUUAUACCACGAAAGAAAGUGAGCUAAAUAUAUAUAGUUGCAUUGCAUACGUAGCAUAGUAUGUAUAAAAUAUGUAUUUAGGAGUGAUAGGCUUUUCAAGCGUUCUUAUAACUUGUUCCAUAUGAAAAGUAUUAAGUACCUGAACAGAUUUAAAAAGUUAAGCUUUUAAAUAAUUAUUAAGAACAUUAUUUCCCUGUAGUGUAGUAUAGUAACUGUCUACGUAGGAACUUAACAUAAAGUAUGGUAGUUUAUAUUUUAUAGUAUGGCAAUAACAAUUUCGUUACUAUUUGAUAAUGUUAUUAUUAGUAAUAUUAAUAUAUAUGCUAAAGGAACUCGGCAAAUAACCGCUCAACUGUUUAUCAAAAACAUAGCUGUAUGGAUUAAUAUAUAGUUAUUUCUGCUCAAUGAUUUUAAAUAGCCGCAGUACUCUGACUGUGCAAAGGUAGCAUAAUCAGUUGGCUUUUAAUUGGAGUCUGGCAUGAAUGAAAAUAUGGGUAGUAACUGUCUUAGCAUAUUAUUUGAACUUAUUAAACAAGUGCAAAUGCUUGUAUUUACACAAUAGACGAGAAGACCCUAGAAACUUGAAUUGAUUUUUGUUGGGGCGACAGAAUUACAUUUAACUAAUUUUUAUUACAUGACGCAAGGUUGAAAGAAUAAGUUACUCUAGGGAUAACAGCAUAAUUUUAGUAGUUUGUGACCUCGAUGUUGGACUAGGUAUUAUACCCUUUAGACAAGGGUAUACCAUGCUCUGUUCGAGCAAGAUUACCUACAUGAUCUGAGUUCAGACCGG
rnacentral:rRNA from 1 species